ensembl:lncRNA
GGGAUAGGGAGGAUAGUAGAGGAGAGAUAUGUACACAACCAGGACAGGGGUUACGGAGGAGAGGAGAGAUAUGGACACAACCAGGAAAGGGGUUAGGGUGGAGAGGAGAGAUAUGGACACAACCAGGACAGGGGAUAGGGUGGAGAGGAGAGAUAUGGACACAACCAGGACAGGGGAUAGGGAGGAGAGGAGAGGAGAGAUAUGGACACAACCAGGACAGGGGAUAGGGAGGAGAGGAGAGAUAUGGACACAACCAGGACAGGGGAUAGGGUGGAGAGGAGAGAUAUGGACACAACCAGGACAGGGGAUAGGGUGGAGAGGAGAGAUAUGGACACAACCAGGACAGGGGAUAGGGAGGAGAGGAGAGGAGAGAUAUGGACACAACCAGGACAGGGGAUAGGGAGGAGAGG